GGGGGGGGGGGGGGGGGGGGCGGGUGGGGGCGGGGGGGGCGAGCGGACGGGGAGGUUGGUUUUCUGCUGUUGGGGGCGGACGGGUGAGUGCGCCGUGGCUAGCCUACCUCUACUACUGGGCUAGGUUCCGGUAACCUUAGCUACUACCGGGUAAUAUGUUGGACCGCAUUGUUCCCAAUUGAAGUACCUUCUUGCUGUGCCUUAUAGAUGGCUCCGCGCUGCAUUUGCUAGUUGGUAAGGGAACGUCUUACCAAGGCAACGAUGCAUAGCCGACCUGAGAGGGUGAUCGGCCACACUGGAACUGAGACACGGUCCAGACUCCUACGGGAGGCAGCCGUAGGGAAUCUUCCGCAAUGGGCGAAAGCCUGACGGAGCAACGCCGCGUGAGUGAUGAAGGUCUUCGGAUCGUAAAACUCUGUUAUUAGGGAAGAACAUAUGUGUAAGUAACUGUGCACAUCUUGACGGUACCUAAUCAGAAAGCCACGGCUAACUACGUG
rnacentral:rRNA from 1 species